rnacentral:lncRNA from 10 species
GUACAGCUGCAUCAGCUGUUCGUAGGACAUGUCCAGCAGCUGGUCCAGGUCCACGCCGCGGUAGGUGAACUUGCGGAAGGUCCGCUUCUUCUUCUGCUCUACUUCUGCCAUCUUGCCGGAUCCUCAGAAAGAGCUAUUUGCAUAUCUAAAGGUUGUUUUCCUGAUGAAAGCAAUCACCAUUGUUAACAGAUGUGAGCGUAAAUGGCUAACCAUCAUGAUCAAGAAAGUUUCAGCUGAUAAUAAGCUUCAGUAUUACUUAGAUAAUGCUCUUUUAUACUAUUAAUAUUCAAGGUAUUUAUUUAAAACAGACCAAUGGAUUUCCAUGAAAACCUUCUCUAUUGCCUAAGUGACUAAGGUUCAUGCUGGCACUACUAGAUUAUUUUAAAAUUUUCAGGAAAUUCAGGCCUACUUCGAUUUUUAAAAUCAUGCAUCCUGGUUAAGUUAAAACUCUAUUUCACUCUUCUCCCAGGUCACAUUUAAAACGUUUCAUAUAACCUCAAAAAACACAAGCAAAAAAUGAAGUCUCUAAUUGAGCUUGUGAAUUCUACAACUCUUCCUACUAACCAAGUGGAUAUUAAAGGGGGUACAAAUACCUGAAGGUUUUAUGAAGGAUUUAUUUGAUAAAAUUCAUAAUGUAUUUAGUUUUCAAUCAAGCUUCAAAACAUAGAAUGAUGAUUCAAAUGUCUGGGACAGGAAAGUCACUGCAAUUUCAAGGAACUCACAGUAAGUGUCAAGAGCCUCAUCCCUGAGGCUUGGUGAAAGGUUUAAAUAAGAUAAUGAAUGUAAAUCAUGUGUACUGACUACAUAGUAAGUAAUCAAUAAUAUCUGCUACUAUCAUUGAAAACUAUGGACUGGAUGCCAUUAUACAUGGGAGUUCUGUGGUUAGAUAAGCAUAGCCCAAAGAUUCUUAAUAAUCACCAACCUGGAGGGAAGUCACUGUUAGGGAUAUGAUGAGGGCUAUGAAUUUUGUAUGCUUUGAUAGUCUAGUUAGAAAAGCAUAAUUGAAGAUGUCUAUCAAACCUGCAGGGGGUGGCAGUGCUAGAAGAGAUAAUUCCAUAGUUUGAAUGACAGACUCAAGAUCAAAAGGAGCCCAGAGAGCUCCCUUGCCUCUUCCACCUUCUGAGGACACAGGAACCAGGAAGCAGGCUCUCAACAGACACCAAAUCUGCCAGCUCCUUGACCUUGGACUUACCAGCCUCCAGAACUCUGAGAAAUAAUUUUUGAUUUUUUAUAAGCCACCCAGUUUGUAUUAGUCUUUCCUACACUGCUAUUAAGAACUACCUAAGACUGGGUAAUUUAUAAAGAAAGAAAGGUUUAAUUGACUCACAGUUCCACAGGCUGUACAGGAGGCAUGACUAGGGAGGCCUCAGGAAACUUACAGUCGUGGCAGAAGGCAAAAGGGAAGCAAGCGUGUUUUCAGGUGGUGGCAGGAGAGAGAGAAAGAGUAAAGGGGGAAGUGCUGCACACUUUUAAAUAACCAGAUCUUGUGAGAACUCUGCCACAAGAUAGCACUAGGGAGAUGGUGCUAAAUCAUAAGAAACCAUCGAUCCAAUCAUCUCCCACCAGGCCCCACCUCCAACGUUCAGAUCACAAUUCAACAGGAGAUUUGGGUGGAGACACAGAGCCAAAUCAUAUCACAGUUUAUGGUAUUGUUACUGCAGCCUGAACAGGCUAAGAUGGUGCCGGCCUGUCUCCCACCUGUUUCUGAACAUCCUAUUCAUCCUGUUUGGCUCAACUCAAAAGUUACUUCCUUCAUGAAGAAGUUCCCAGUCCCCCAAAAUCAAAUAAGCACCAAGUCUGCCCUCGAGUGCCACCUAUCUCACACCACUGCCUCAUAUUGGAUGUCUUGGUGACCUUGGUCAGUCCUCUUAUUAACUUCCAAGUCUCUUAAAGGCAGGAACUGUUUCCAUUAUGCAGACUGCAUUCUUAAAAGUAUUCAUGAAACAAAUAAAUAAAUGAUAUAUGUGAAGUCCUCUGUUCGUGGCCAAACCAAAAUCAUUUCAGGGGAACAGGAUGAAUGAAAAAUCACAUCUUAGGGUUGUAGCUGCUGUAAGUAGAAUAAGUGCAAAUAUCGUGGGCACUAAAAGCUAAUAAAAACAUAGGGUACACUAUCCAGAGGACAGAAUAACUCUCUGGUUACCAGAUGUGAGGCAAUUAACAUUCUAUGUGGGUUCUGAUUAUUGAAUGCUUAAAGAAUUGCUCUAGUGUGGGCUAAUGGUGGGAAGGGGCUUCACCUGUAGUGUGUUGAAGUCUCAUUUACUAUGCCAAUAACAGCACAUUCCUCACCCUGGAACCUGAGUAAUCUCUAUACAUCCUCAGGCCUAAAGAGACAAAAAAGCUCAAAUCUUAGGUCUCUCAUGGCUGGAAAGGGGACAAACUGGUCGAAAGUAUGGCUUCAUCUUAUGUUAUGGUGGGAAAUAAUAGAAUAUUGGCUGCUAUGAGGGAUAGGCUGGGAGUCAGGUGGGAGGUGAACAUUAAGAAGGAGAGGGACUGACCUGAAGCCUACGGAGUGUUGCUAUCACUCAUCACAGGGUUAAUUUUGAGAGGCAUCUAUGUUUGUGCAGUUGCGUUUUCUGUAAACAUUAUUGUUUUGCUCCACUAUGGUAUUUCUUAAAGUGUUUUGGAAAAGUAAGGAAAGAGGCCGGGCACAAUGGCUCACGCCUAUAAUCCCAGCACUUUGGGAGGCUGAGGCAGGUGGAUCACUUGAGGUCAGGAGUUCGAGACCACCUGGCCAACAUAGUAAAACCUCAUCUCUACUAAACAUACUAAAAUUAGCCAGGUGUGGUGGCACACGCCUGUAGUCCCAGCUACUCAGGAGGCUGAGGCAGGAGAAUCCUUUGAACCCGGUGGGUGGAGGUUGCAGUGAGCCGAGAUAGCACCAUUGCACUCCAGCAUGGGUGACAGAGUGAGACUCUAUCUCAAAAAAAAAGAAAAGAAAAGGAAAGAGAUUAGAUUAAGAUUAAGUACCUACUUCCUCUCCCACUUCAAGUCCUGGAAAUAGAGGAUCAGAAAUGUUGAGGAAUUCUUUAGGAUAGAAAGGAGAUGGGAUUUUACUUAUGGGAAGACAGCAAAUAAAGACUGCAACUUAACACAUACACAGGUGAAAGUGUUAGCAAGAGUAGGAACCAUUUGCUCUACAUAACUCCAGAAAAAACUCAUACUAAAAUGAAAACAUAAAGCAGGCAGUUCUGAGCAAUUCCCAUCCUUUCUCUACAAAAAGAGAGACGGUACUAAAUAAAACAUAAUUUAGCAAUCACAAGCAUGAACAGAUAGACCACAAAAUUUACCGAGCAUUUAAGCAAGAUCAACACUAUGAAUGAAGACAUUAAACCAAAAAGUCAGAGGCACUACCAUCUAAGGAAAAGGAAUAAAUUAUAAAUUAAAAGAACAUAAGAGAACUAAAAUAAGGUGUAAUUAAUGUUUUCAAAAGAUAGCAUAAAACAAGAGCAAGAACAAAUUGCUUUAUCAUAUGGGAUCUAGCCUUCAGCUCUGAAUGGGAGAUCCUAUUACUGACAAAGUCUGUCUUUCCAAAAUGGGGUCUUUCUCUGUUCAGUUCAGAAGCCAAUACACAAAAACAAAAGUGAGCAUCAAGCAGUUCAGGUUUCGUUCGAUGGCCAUAGAAUUGAGAAGUGGGAGCUUGGCUCACAAAUCAAUUUCAUAGCUCUUGCAAGUGAGUAUAUCACAAAUAUAGGGCAUCUUUAAUGAAGGGGUUAAGCAUUAAGAGCAAGAGGAGGAAUAUUCAUGUCUUUUCUGGGAAUGGGCAGAGAACCGCUCAAAACCAGAGUGCGCUUUCCUUUUUGUCCUUUCAUGGUUUCCUCUGGCUGUUGUCAGGGUGAUUGUCAACUGUCAUGGCACUGGUGGGAGAGUCGUUUAGCAUGGACAUUAGACUAUAAUGAAGUUAGAGGUUCUUCAGAGGUCAAGUGAGCUGCCAUCUUGGAUCCAGUCUUAGUAAGUUAGAUCACAAGGGGGAAAUUCAGACCUCAGGCAUCCUGUUUCCUAAAGAUAAGCAGGGUUAAGACAGGAUAGAAAUUCACCUAGGUCAUGUAGGCAUUACAAUGUGUAACAAUCCUAAAUAUCAACUCUCAUGACUGGCCUAGGACCUUGAAACAACAGGAACUAUGUCCAAAUACCAUGAAACUUUCAUGUAGUAUCAGUGUUAAUGUCAGUAUGUAGAUUCUUUGGCUUGCAGGGAGGACUUGCGUGGCAGAAGUGCUUUGGUAACAGAAAAGAAAAUUUAACUUGUGAGCUCUUUCUUCUCAGGUAGCACGAAUGUAACAGACUCCUGUAUGACAAAAUAUAUUUUCCCAGGAAUGGCAAGCACCCAUUUUUGUCCAAUUCAUGGUUCUGGAGGUACUUACAAAUUAGUGUGAUGUUCAUAAUAGUUGCUCUCAGAAAUUGCAGAACAGUUUGCAAUUUUUUUUUUUUAAAAGGGGUCUCGCUCUCUUGCCCAGGGUGGAGUGCAGUGGCGUGAUCUCGGCUCACUGCAACCUCCGCCUCCCAGGUUCAAGAGAUUCUCCCACUUCAGCCUCCUGAUUUGCUGGGACAACAGACAUGCACGACCAUGCCCAGCUAAUUUUUGUAUUCUUUUGGUAGAGACAGGGCUUCACCAUGUUGGUCAGGCUGGUCUCGAACUCCUGACCUCAAGUGACCUGCCCGCCUUGACCUCCCAAAGCACUGGGAUUAGAGGCAUGAGCCACAGUGCCCAACCACAUUUUUAUUAUUAAACAAUUCAUAAUACUCUUAAAGAUGUAUGCUUAAAGGUCUAGAGUGAGACAUGAUACCAAUUUGUUAUACUGACAGCCAAACUUUGUACACUAAACUUGUAAAUAUUUUUUACAAACACAUUUAGUAAGUAUGUAAUUAAAUGUUUAGAAAAUUAAAUAAAAACUCAACUCAUUAUAAUAAUAAUGAUUUAUUGUUUCAUAGACCUUGAUUAUCACUGGUUUUGCCUUAUAGAUUUUAAUAGAUAAGUUUGAAUACUUGAGCAUAACCACAUCA